rnacentral:rRNA from 1 species
AUUGAACGCUGGCGGCAGGCCUAACACAUGCAAGUCGAGCGGUUGAGGGGAGCUUGCUCCCUGAUUCAGCGGCGGACGGGUGAGUAAUGCCUAGGAAUCUGCCUAUUAGUGGGGGACAACGUUUCGAAAGGAACGCUAAUACCGCAUACGUCCUACGGGAGAAAGCAGGGGACCUUCGGGCCUUGCGCUAAUAGAUGAGCCUAGGUCGGAUUAGCUAGUUGGUGAGGUAAUGGCUCACCAAGGCGACGAUCCGUAACUGGUCUGAGAGGAUGAGCAGUCACACUGGAACUGAGACACGGUCCAGACUCCUACGGGAGGCAGCAGUGGGGAAUAUUGGACAAUGGGCGAAAGCCUGAUCCAGCCAUGCCGCGUGUGUGAAGAAGGUCUUCGGAUUGUAAAGCACUUUAAGUUGGGAGGAAGGGUUGUAGAUUAAUACUCUGCAAUUUUGACGUUACCGACAGAAUAAGCACCGGCUAACUCUGUGCCAGCAGCCGCGGUAAUAC